UAGGGAAUAUUGGACAAUGGGCGAAAGCCUGAUCCAGCCAUGCCGCGUGGUAGAUGAAGGCCCUCUGGGUUGUAAAUACCUUUUAUCUGGGAAGAAAUAUCUCAUUCUUGAGAAACUGACGGUACCAGAUGAAUAAGCACCGGCUAACUCCGUGCCAGCAGCCGCGGUAAUACGGAGGGUGCAAGCGUUAUCCGGAUUUACUGGGUUUAAAGGGUGCGUAGGCGGAAUUGUAAGUCAGUGGUGAAAGCCCCGAGCUUAACUUGGGAAUUGCCAUUGAUACUGCUUUUCUUGAAUACGAUUGAGGUAAGCGGAAUGUUGCAUGUAGCGGUGAAAUGCUUAGAUAUGUUACAGAACACCAAUUGCGAAGGCAGCUUACUAAGUCGUUAUUGACGCUGAGGCACGAAAGCGUGGGUAGCAAACA
rnacentral:rRNA from 1 species